rnacentral:rRNA from 1 species
GAUGAACGCUAGCUACAGGCUUAACACAUGCAAGUCGAGGGGCAGCAUGGUCUUAGCUUGCUAAGGCCGAUGGCGACCGGCGCACGGGUGAGUAACACGUAUCCAACCUGCCGUCUACUCUUGGACAGCCUUCUGAAAGGAAGAUUAAUACAAGAUGGCAUCAUGAGUCCGCAUGUUCACAUGAUUAAAGGUAUUCCGGUAGACGAUGGGGAUGCGUGCCAUUAGAUAGUAGGCGGGGUAACGGCCCACCUAGUCUUCGAUGGAUAGGGGUUCUGAGAGGAAGGUCCCCCACAAUGGAACUGAGACACGGUCCAAACUCCUACGGAAGGCAGAAGUGAGGAAUAUUGGUCAAUGGGCGCAGGCCGGAACCAGCCAAGUAAGGUGAAGGAUGACUGCCAUAUGGGUUGUAAACUUCUUUUAUAAAGGAAGAAAGUCGGGUAUGUAUACCCGGUUGCAUGUACUUUAUGAAUAAGGAUCGGCUAACUACGUG